AUGAACGCUAGCUACAGGCUUAACACAUGCAAGUCGAGGGGCAGCAUGGUCUUAGCUUGCUAAGGCCGAUGGCGACCGGCGCACGGGUGAGUAACACGUAUCCAACCUGCCGUCUACUCUUGGACAGCCUUCUGAAAGGAAGAUUAAUACAAGAUGGCAUCAUGAGUCCGCAUGUUCACAUGAUUAAAGGUAUUCCGGUAGACGAUGGGGAUGCGUUCCAUUAGAUAGUAGGCGGGGUAACGGCCCACCUAGUCUUCGAUGGAUAGGGGUUCUGAGAGGAAGGUCCCCCACAUUGGAACUGAGACACGGUCCAAACUCCUACGGGAGGCAGCAGUGAGGAAUAUUGGUCAAUGGGCGAGAGCCUGAACCAGCCAAGUAGCGUGAAGGAUGACUGCCCUAUGGGUUGUAAACUUCUUUUAUAAAGGAAUAAAGUCGGGUAUGGAUACCCGUUUGCAUGUACUUUAUGAAUAAGGAUCGGCUAACUCCGUGCCAGCAGCCGCGGUAAUACGGAGGAUCCGAGCGUUAUCCGGAUUUAUUGGGUUUAAAGGGAGCGUAGAUGGAUGUUUAAGUCAGUUGUGAAAGUUUGCGGCUCAACCGUAAAAUUGCAGUUGAUACUGGAUAUCUUGAGUGCAGUUGAGGCAGGCGGAAUUCGUGGUGUAGCGGUGAAAUGCUUAGAUAUCACGAAGAACUCCGAUUGCGAAGGCAGCCUGCUAAGCUGCAACUGACAUUGAGGCUCGAAAGUGUGGGUAUCAAACAGGAUUAGAUACCCUGGUAGUCCACACGGUAAACGAUGAAUACUCGCUGUUUGCGAUAUACAGCAAGCGGCCAAGCGAAAGCGUUAAGUAUUCCACCUGGGGAGUACGCCGGCAACGGUGAAACUCAAAGGAAUUGACGGGGGCCCGCACAAGCGGAGGAACAUGUGGUUUAAUUCGAUGAUACGCGAGGAACCUUACCCGGGCUUAAAUUGCAGAUGAAUUACGGUGAAAGCCGUAAGCCGCAAGGCAUCUGUGAAGGUGCUGCAUGGUUGUCGUCAGCUCGUGCCGUGAGGUGUCGGCUUAAGUGCCAUAACGAGCGCAACCCUUAUCUAUAGUUACUAUCAGGUCAUGCUGAGGACUCUAUGGAGACUGCCGUCGUAAGAUGUGAGGAAGGUGGGGAUGACGUCAAAUCAGCACGGCCCUUACGUCCGGGGCUACACACGUGUUACAAUGGGGGGUACAGAGGGCCGCUACCACGCGAGUGGAUGCCAAUCCCCAAAACCUCUCUCAGUUCGGACUGGAGUCUGCAACCCGACUCCACGAAGCUGGAUUCGCUAGUAAUCGCGCAUCAGCCACGGCGCGGUGAAUACGUUCCCGGGCCUUGUACACACCGCCCGUCAAGCCAUGGGAGCCGGGGGUACCUGAAGUGCGUAACCGCGAGGAGCGCCCUAGGGUAAAACUGGUGACUGGGGCU
rnacentral:rRNA from 1 species